AUCUGGUCCAAGAUUCUUUUUUUUCUGUACAUGAUCGUUCUCAUUGACACUGACAGCUAAGCAUUAUAUAAAUUCAGAGGGAGUUUUCUCUUCCAGAUGGAAUGGUCCAAAAAUGCUUCCCAGUGGGUCUGCACUCUGAAAGUGGAGAUUUGUAUAAGCAGAGAAGAGAGGGGAAGGCACGGCAUGCAGAUAUUGUGUUCAUCAAAAGAUAUAGUGGGCAAAGCCACAUGUAUAAAUGGAAUUAAAUGUAUAAUAAUAGGUUCAGCAAGUACAGCUAAAACAAGAUAAAACUGCAUUUCUUCAAGACUGGGAUGAUGGGGCUCUCCUAUUUUGAUAUUGGCCUACAAUUCCCCUGGCUCUGUCAAGUCAAAGAAUCUCCCAUCCAGUCAUCAAAUCACAUGAUUAUUUUCCUUGGACAGGCAUGUGAAGUUCAGAUUUGCAGAUUGGAAUUCAAGGAAUAACUCAAAGCAUAUCACUAGGGCACCACUUCUGAUGUCUACAUAUCCAGAAGGGAAGAUGACAACUAAACUCCAUUUGACAGUGCUGAUACUCAAGCUCCGGAAAUCCUCUGUCCCAAACGCAACAUCCUCCUUCAACCACUGCAAUCACCACCCUGUCGUCUUCUUCUCUGGCCAGGAUUCAUUCUGAGAAAGCAGUCCAGGAUCACCCUUCAUAGUGAUUUGUCCACCAUCUUCCUGGGACCUACACCUGAAUAUGGCUGGAUGGUAUAGUGUGAGCCACCUGACGUCAAAGCUGAGAGAGACAUGCCAUUUGCAGACUAGACAUGCAUAUCACCGGUGCCAAUGUAUAGACCUAUAAGGAAACCAACAAGGUAAAUCCUUUUAGCUAGGGUUGAAUAAGGAGCAAAUGAAUACAGAAAUCUUUUGUUUCAUAGAUAAUAAUAAUGUGGUACUAUAUUAAGUGUGUAGGCUCCAGAACCAGAAAGACCUGUCUUUAAAAUGAAGAUUAUACAAAUAGCGGCCAUGUUUUUUGAAGAAUAAAAUGAAACAGAGUCUAAGAAGUGCUUAUCAUAGUACCAGGUGCAAAAAUAUGAUUACUUCUUUCCUUUCUCUUGUCUUCCCUUACACAUGUCUGCAUUGAGGCAUUACACAGCUCAAAGCAAUUUACAAGUAUUUCUGUAUUCACUUGCAACUCUGCAAAGAGAGCAGUGGGUUUACUAAAUUGGAUCAUGUGUUACUUACUCCAGGCAUUGCAUUUGACCUUAUAAUAAAUUAUUAUUCACUGGAUCAUAACAUCAUAGGCAGUUUUGACACAAAAAACUCCUGAGAAAUCUGCUGAUUGAAAUGUGAUCUUGGUAAUUAUUCAGAAUUGGCAAAUAUGAGAAACUGUCUAUCUUUCUUCUCCUAUAACUGUAUAUGGAGGUUUGACAGUGGCCGGAAUUGAAUUGUUGACUAGGAACUAUCCUUGCCAGCCUAUGAACGACACAGCAAAUGACUCAGAGGAACUGUGGGAAUGUGCCUCGGCGUCCCGACCCUUCUCAGGAGCCAAGGUCAAGCCCUAGGCUUCCUAUUAAUUUUUUACAUAUAGGCUUAUGGCGUGUUCUUAAGAACUUCUAGACUUGAUAAACCUUUGUUGGAAUUAAACAUAUUGUUUUUAUAUGUUUGUGUGUAUUUUUAAGAUUAAGAAGAACAUGAAAACAUUUUUUCUCUUUUAGCUGCAAAUCAAAAGCAGAGAACAAAUACUAUGAAAAACAAAUUUUAAUUUUUUUUUCCAAGAGAAAGUACCUUCUGUGUUUGCUGUGACUUCUUGUAUAGUCUCCUAGAUGAGGCAAUUGCUUGGGCUAUCACUUUACCCUAAAGGUCUAUGGAGAGUUUACAUAUUAAAAAAAUAUAAGAAUUACAAGUAGGAAGAUGAACAAGUUCAUUAAAGAGUGGGUACUUCCUGAUAUGGGAGAAAAAGAACUGGAAAGAAGUUAAAUUGGUGAAUGUAUUUGAUUAUGUUAGUAGUUUUCCUAAGGAGUGUAGAGAUACAUUUCUAUGUUACUACUAAAAAUUCCUAGCAAAGCCUCUAAGUUACUCAAUUUAAACUAAAUUUUCAAUUAAACUUUGAAUCCUAAAAUUACAAAUCCAUUCUCUUCAAGCUAUUCAUUUAAAUGUAUACUUCUACUUCAUACCAGCAUUCUUCAAGCAAGGAUCUCUUUACCAUACACUUGCCAACAAGGAAUAGUUCGUGAACCAUGCUUACAGUUCACUGGCUUUGAGUUUCUAGCCAAGUUUUAUAUAAGAAAACUUCAAAACUGAUUUAUUCUUUUUCAAAAUAAAGUUGAACUCUGAACCUAUAUAGCAUGUUUAAAAAGUGAUUGAUAUGAACUCUGAAUCUAUCUAGCAUAUCCAGGAAGUAGUUAAUACUGUGUGUAUGUGGUGGGACGUGUGUGUGGGGUUUACCCUGAGGACUUUAAAGACAUUACUGGUGAAAUAUAAACUUUGAUUCUUAAAUAUUUUUGACAUGAAAAGUCAGAUAAACAGAUCUUAAAAAAAACAGUCUCUCUACUUAAGAGCUAUUUUUAAUUGUUACACAUCUCAACAAGCAUGCUAUUUUUAAACUAGGAAGCUGGAAAAAAAUUAUUUUUAAAUUGUCCUCUGUGAGUUUAUUUUCCUCAUAGCUGUUUCUCACAUCUAAGUUUUGUGGGGUUUUUUAAAAAUUAUUUUUAGGUUCAUAUAGAAGACUACAGUAAGAGAGAAUGGUAAAAUAUAGACUGAAUAGACAGAAUUUAUGUUUAUACACAGAUGUACACUUUAACUCUGACAUGGUGAUGUAUGGUAAUGGUAAAAUAAUACAUAUAGGUGGGAAAAAAUCAGAACUAGGCUGCUCAGUAGAUAAAAGCUUAUUUCUAUGACAAUAUUUCAUAUUCACCAUGUUUUUCAGGGAGCUAUAAGAGAGAGACAUAGGUUCCGGAACAAUUUUCAAAAUUGUUAAUAGAAUUUCAUCCUCAUCAGUGAAUUACCAUAAUUUAGAGAUUUAAGACAGUUUAUACUGGAGUCUUUCACAAAAAAAUGAACAGCUAAUAGAUGAAAGUGUCAGAAAAUAGUUUUAGAACAGAGUACUACUUCUGUUUUACAAAGUAUUUAAAUAUUUAUUUUAAAUACUAUUGGUUCAUUACUAUUACGUUAAAAGAUGGUAAAAUAGUUCAGAUUUAAGAUGUUUCCCAUCAUAAUGAAAUAUAAAGCAGUGUCACUAAUAUAAAGGCUCACAAAGGCUUAAAGAAAGGGUUUCUAAACAUAUGAUCAGUUGUCUUAAAAAAUAUGGCUAACAUCUUGUAUUUUGUUGGUAUUCUUUUUUUCUGAGUUAUUGUUUUCCAAUAACAUCAUUGCAAUAAGAGAAAGAAUAAUGGGAAAGCAAAUAAUACAUUCAUUCAGAUUAAUUCAACAAAUAUGUUUAGCCAUCUAUCAGAAUCUAGGUUGUAUUCUAAACUCUAAGAUUUUGCAAUGAACACAAAUGAAAAACGGUCUUGGUGUAGUUUCCUUUCUGUCAGAGGAAAUAGGCAACAAAACAAACAAAAAAAAUGACACAUAAUACAGAAGUAUGUGAUAUAGUUAAUAAAAUAGUAAGAACUUGGUUUUCAAACUCAGAGAGCACUGUAAAGAUUUUGGCUAUAUUCAGAGUGAAAUUUGAGAGCCACUGGCAAGUUUUAGACAGAGAACAGUGAGCAAUGAAAUUCCAUGUCUGAUGCUUCAGUUCAGAGGCAGGGACAGAUCCGAGAGAUAUUAUGAAGAAAAAUUCAACAAAAGUUGCUUAUUGGACAUGAGGCAUAAUGGAGAGAAAACACUCAUGUUUGUUAUAUUGAUAUUUAUGAGUUAGUGUAGGUUGCAUUUAGGUAGCAAUAAAGACUUAAUUUUAGAAAUUAACAUUAUAGUUGACAUUAUAGAUGUUGUGAGUAUGUUGGAACAGGGAUGGAAAAUAUAUUUUAUCUCGCAUGCCAACACAAGUUUAUUAGUAACGGGGGCCUGGAACAUAUACUGAGCAGGAGUCUGAGACUAAAUUAGAAUUCAGAGGAAACAUGUAUCUUGUCCAAUAUCCCUAAUAGCCAUGGGUGAGUUUAAGUUCUGGUAUGGCUGAAAAUUUUCCUUAUAUACUGUUGUGAGCUAACCUGUGUUCAAGAUGCUUAAGAUUCAUAUGUUAAAAUCCUAAACUGCAGUGACUCAAAAUAUGACUGUUUGGAGAUAGUGUUUUCAAAGAAGUAAUAAAGUUAAAUGAGGUAAGAGGGGAGACCAUGUGAAGACAGAGAGAGAAGACAGUCAUCUACAAGCCAAGGAGAGAGGUCUCAAAAACACCCCAGUUUUGUUGACAGUUUGAUCUCGGACUUCUAGCCUCCAGAGUUUGUGAGAAAAUUAAGUUGUUUUUACCAUCUGUAGUACAUUGUUAUGGCAGCCCUAGCAGACUAAUACAUAGACCAACCCUCUUGAAAAUGAACUAUAACUUUUAUAAAAUACCAUGAAAAACUAGCCUACAGUUCUGAAAAAUGAAAAAAAAAUACAGACAGAUUCUGGAAGAGUCAAAACUUGGAAGAAAGGACCAGGAAAGUGAAGUGGGUCUAUCUGUCUAUCAUCUAUCUAUCUAUCAUCUAUCUAUCAUAUAUUUAUCACCACUGUGGUAUAAUAUGGAGUGGCAAAGACUUUGAACAAAUCUGAAUUAUUCUAGCCUGAAGAAAUAGAUGACAGUGUCUAGGGCAACCAGAGCUGAUGGAAAUUGAAGAGCAAAUUCCAGAAAGGAGAGAACCAGGGAUUAGGAUUCCUAAAUUCUGUGUAGAACCCUGAACUAUGCAUGUGUAGGGCAGACUGCAGACUGCCUCACUAAAGUGGCUGGACGAAGAACUGACAUAAGAUUUAAGGAAAUUGGUUUCUAAAUUUAAAAAAAACAGUUAAAUGAUCAUAACAGAAUCUAGAGUCUUCACAAUACAACUUUCACAAUAUCCAGGAUACAGUGCAAGAUUUCUCCAUAUAAAAAGAACCAAGGAAGUGUGACCCAUUCUCAAGAGAAAAGACCAUCAGUGAAGGCUGACCCCUGGAUAAUUCACAGGGCAAACUAGCAGACAAGGACUUUAGAGCACCUAUUGUUAAUCUGCUCCAGAAGGCAAAGAAAUAUAUGGUCAAAAUAAAUAAAAACAUAAAUCUCAGCAGAGAAAGAGAAACUAUAUAAAAGCCAAGUGGAAAGCCUAGAGCUGAAAAAUAAAAUAUCUAAAAUUUAAAAAUAUUACUGAAUGGACAUUACA